CUUGGAAAUACCCCCGUCUGCUCAUCAGAGGACGAGCAGGAGGACGCUAGCACCGUGGAGGACCAGGCCGAGUACACGGAGGACUACAUCUACCUGACCCAAGAUGAGAGCUAUCAGACCUCUGAUGUUUACACCACCGCUGACCCCCCCACCACCCAGGACGAGCAGGAAGGAGGAAUUGCUGACUCCCCAACGAGACCAGAGAUGAACUACAACUACACACA